GAUGAACGCUGGCGGCGUGCCUAAUACAUGCAAGUCGAGCGAACGGAUGAGAAGCUUGCUUCUCUGAUGUUAGCGGCGGACGGGUGAGUAACACGUGGAUAACCUACCUAUAAGACUGGGAUAACUUCGGGAAACCGGAGCUAAUACCGGAUAAUAUUUUGAACCGCAUGGUUCAAAAGUGAAAGACGGUCUUGCUGUCACUUAUAGAUGGAUCCGCGCUGCAUUAGCUAGUUGGUAAGGUAACGGCUUACCAAGGCAACGAUGCAUAGCCGACCUGAGAGGGUGAUCAGCCACACUGGAACUGAGACACGGUCCAGACUCCUACGGGAGGCAGCAGUAGGGAAUCUUCCGCAAUGGGCGAAAGCCUGACGGAGCAACGCCGCGUGAGUGAUGAAGGUCUUCGGAUCGUAAAACUCUGUUAUUAGGGAAGAACAUAUGUGUAAGUAACUGUGCACAUCUUGACGGUACCUAAUCAGAAAGCCACGGCUAACUACGUG
rnacentral:rRNA from 1 species